GUGUCUGAAGAAGGCCUUCGGGUUGUAAAGGACUUUUGUCAGGGAAGAAAAGGGCGGGGUUAAUACCCCUGUCUGAUGACGGUACCUGAAGAAUAAGCACCGGCUAACUACGUGCCAGCAGCCGCGGUAAUACGUAGGGUGCGAGCGUUAAUCGGAAUUACUGGGCGUAAAGCGGGCGCAGACGGUUACUUAAGCAGGAUGUGAAAUCCCCGGGCUCAACCUGGGAACUGCGUUCUGAACUGGGUGACUAGAGUGUGUCAGAGGGAGGUAGAAUUCCACGUGUAGCAGUGAAAUGCGUAGAGAUGUGGAGGAAUACCGAUGGCGAAGGCAGCCUCCUGGGAUAACACUGACGUUCAUGCCCGAAAGCGUGGGUAGCAAACAGGAUUAGAUACCCUGGUAGUCCACGCCCUAAACGAUGUCGAUUAGCUGUUGGGCAGCAUGACUGCUUAGUAGCGAAGCUAACGCGUGAAAUCGACCGCCUGGGGAGUACGGUCGCAAGAUUAAAACUCAAAGGAAUUGACGGGGACCCGCACAAGCGGUGGAUGAUGUGGAUUAAUUCGAUGCAACGCGAAGAACCUUACCUGGUCUUGACAUGUACGGAACCCUCCAGAGACGGAGGGGUGCCUUCGGGAGCCGUAACACAGGUGCUGCAUGGCUGUCGUCAGCUCGUGUCGUGAGAUGUUGGGUUAAGUCCCGCAACGAGCGCAACCCUUGUCAUUAGUUGCCAUCAUUAAGUUGGGCACUCUAAUGAGACUGCCGGUGACAAGCCGGAGGAAGGUGGGGAUGACGUCAAGUCCUCAUGGCCCUUAUGACCAGGGCUUCACACGUCAUACAAUGGUCGGUACAGAGGGUAGCCAAGCCGCGAGGUGGAGCCAAUCUCACAAAACCGAUCGUAGUCCGGAUUGCACUCUGCAACUCGAGUGCAUGAAGUCGGAAUCGCUAGUAAUCGCAGGUCAGCAUACUGCGGUGAAUACGUUCCCGGGUCUUGUACACACCGCCCGUCACACCAUGGGAGUGGGGGAUACCAGAAGUAGGUAGGGUAACCGCAAGGAGCCCGCU
rnacentral:rRNA from 1 species